UCCUGUUACAUAAGCAUUUCCACCUGAAAUAAAAUCUAUAUUUUAUAUCAACACAGCCACAGGUAAUUCAUCAACGUGGCGGCACCUUAAUCUAUGUGCGCAUUGCGCACCUCCUCUACCUUCAAACAUUCAUUCAACCGUCUUAUCAGAAAAAAAAAAAAAAAUUCAAACCCUACUUUCUCUCUUUCUCUCUCAAACCAAAAUCGCAACCCAAAGAAUCCACAAUUGCAUCUAAGCUUCUAUAUUUUUUUUUUUUGUGUUUGUAUUUUCUUUCACAAAUUAUAAAAAAAGCUUAAUCUUCAGUACUCUUCUCGUUUCAAAAUCGAUCCCUAAAUUAUUCACUGGAAACAAAACCCUAAUAACACCCUUUAUAUUUUUUCUUCAAUUCAAAAAAUCAAGUUUCUCUUCCGUUUGGAAACAGCUCUUCAUUUUGCAGUUUACUUAAACUGAUUUUGUAAUACUAAGUUUCUGACUCAGUUUUUUUUUCUCUUUAAAUUUUUACUAUUUUGAAAAGAAUUAGUUCGUUUAAGUUUGGUUUUAUCUUUCCUAAAAUAAACAAGAGCCGCCUUUUACAUUACUUAAAAAACAAAAAUCUCUUUUUACAAUCAGUUUCGCAGGUUACCACUAUCAGUACACAUUAAACUUAUCAUCAGCUCAAAACCCAUUAGCAUCUUUGUCUUUAUUACCAAAGAAACCAAAACAAAUUGUAAAUCUUUCGAAGAAUCACAUGAAUUGGUAAACUGUGAGUGGAAAUGUCAGUGGAAAGGUCGUUUGAAGCAUGGGAGGAGGUACAGAGGCAAGGGCAGGACCUCGCGGACAGGUUGGCUCAGGGUUUUUCUGGUCUAAUCCAAUCUCACAUGACUAACCCACAAGUAGUAUUUCCAUGGCCAAACCAUCAAAAAUCGAAGCUUUUCGAUCUGGAAUUCCCUGCAUACAAUUUUAGCAAAAGGGAUUUUGGAGUGCUAGCUGAUAGUAAUGGGAUAAAUGGGAUUUUUGAUAUUGGAAAUAGGAUUGGACAAGCCGGGGCUGAUUUUGGGGCUUGUUUGAAUGGGUUGAUGCAACAGUUUUUUAGGAGAUUGCCAGUGCCCUUUAGGCAAGAGGAGAGUGUUAGAAUGGAGGUGGUGAUGAUGGACAGUAAAAGGAAUGAUGCAUGUGUGAGUUUGGAGGGGGAGUUUGGUUUGGUCAGUGAGAGGUUGAGGGAAUUUGGAUUUGUGGAUAAUGGUGAUGCUGGUAUUGGUAGGGUGGAGGGUUCCUCAGACGAAGAAAAUGGUGGUUUUAAUUUGAAGUCUGUGGGGCAUCUUGGUAAACCACAGGGGGUCAUGAAUAUUACAUCAACUUAUGACAGUAGAACUCGCAACUUCGAGAGUUCUUUGAUUGCAAGAGGAGACUUAUGGAGAGUUGAAGCAUCACAUGGCAGUUCCACCUCCACAUCAGGAAAUGAUAAUUCAUCUCUCUUCCUCAUUCAGCUUGGACCAGUACUUUUUGUUCGCGAUUCGACACUUCUUCUGCCUGUUCAUCUGUCAAAGCAACACUUGCUUUGGUAUGGUUAUGAUAGGAAGAAUGGAAUGCAUUCUCUUUGUCCUGCUGUAUGGUCAAAGCAUAGAAGGUGGCUCUUAAUGUCAAUGCUUUGUCUCAAUCCUGUAGCUUGUUCGUUCGUGGAUUUGCAAUUUCCAAAUGGUCAGGUUACCUAUGUCUCAGGCGAGGGACUCACUACAAGUGCUUUUCUACCUUUCUGCGGGGGACUUCUCCAAGCACAGGGCAAAUAUCCAGGGGAAAUGAGAUUUAGCUUCUCUCACAAGAACAAGUGGGGUACACGCAUCACACCAAUGUUUCAAUGGCCCGACAAGUCAUUUACAUUAGGCUUUGCACAGGCCUUAGCGUGGCAGAGAUCAGGUCUAAUGGUGAGGCCAACUGUUCAGUUCAGUUUGUGCCCCACUUUUGGCGGAAGCAAUCCUGGGUUGAGGGCAGAACUUAUUCAUUCAGUGAAUGAGCAACUUAACCUGAUCUGUGGCUGUGCAUUCAUGGCUCACCCUUCCAUAUUUGCAUCACUCUCUCAUAAACCAAUUUGGCUUCAUGGGUGGCUGCUGUGCACACAAGUUAAGGGCUUUAAACACAGGUUUCUUUAACAAGCAAAAAAAAAAAAACAAAGCUUUGCAGACAAGCUACUUUUUUUCUUCGAAGUACAAAAGGCCACCAGUGAAGACGGACAUACUCAUAGCGCAAGUGUCUGGAAUAUUGAUUCUUGUGAAGGAAUUCGUUGUUACCAUUAAGACAUGGGAUAUACUUUGUUAAAAUAAAUGUUACACCUUGAACAAGAGGAAUAUAGGCCAGUUUGCCAGGCUAACUGCAAUUUUCUGUGUAGCACGGAUCUGUGUUGCCACUGUAACCAUAUCUUUGAAACAAUAAGAUCCAAAUAUCCUUAGAUUGAGAAUCCAGAGUUCAUUGUCUGCCUCAACACAAUGUAACCUCAAGCUUCUUGCUAAAAGGAUGCUGUCGAUUUAAAGGUCUGACUGCAUAUGGAGGGGCUAACUUUGGUCUUCAGUCAAAGUCUUACCCAUAGUGGUUAGAAGCUAAUAAUCUAAUUGACGGUUGAUGAAAUUGCAAAAUUGCGAAUGUACCAGCACUGAUGCAUCAAACUCCAUUUGUUCAAAAAAUAAAAUUGCAAUGAAUGAUUGAAACAGAACAAAUGUAUUGGCCGGUCUAAGUGGAAUAGUAAUGCUGGGUGCUCUGGAAUUGUUGUGAGAGUUGAUAGCCCAUUCUCUGAUGUGGGCCGACCAUCUUUCUCUGUUCAGAUAAAUAGUGGUAUUGAGUUUUGAAUUGCUGGGACUCCAUAUUUUGCGUAGUAGAAGUGUAAAUAGCGUUUGAGCUUUAAAUCAUACAAUACUACAUGUGAAUAUUUUGAGCAAUCGUUCUAUUAAUUCACUUUUGAUUUUGA